rnacentral:rRNA from 1 species
GAUGAACGCUGGCGGCGUGCUUAACACGUGCAAGUCGAACGGACUUUACAUGAAGCCUAGCGAUUGUAAAGUUAGUGGCGGACGGGUGAGUAACGCGUGAAUAACCUGCCUUAUACUGGGGGACAACAGUUGGAAACGACUGCUAAUACCGCAUAAGCGCACAGUUCUGCAUGGGACAGUGUGAAAAACUCCGGUGGUAUAAGAUGGAUUCGCGUCUGAUUAGUUAGUUGGUGAGGUAACGGCUCACCAAGGCGACGAUCAGUAGCCGGCCUGAGAGGGUGAACGGCCACAUUGGGACUGAGAUACGGCCCAGACUCCUACGGGAGGCAGCAGUGGGGAAUAUUGGGCAAUGGGCGCAAGCCUGACCCAGCAAUGCCGCGUGAAGGAAGAAGGCUUUCGGGUGUAAACUUCUUUGUUGGGAAUAAAAGACGCUACGUGCAGCGUUCUGCAUGUACCUUACGAAUAAGCAUCGGCUAAUUCCGUGCCAGCAGCC